rfam:Triticum aestivum genome assembly, contig: Triticum_aestivum_CS42_TGACv1_scaffold_579095_7BL
GAUCUACUCCCUCCGUCCCAAAAUUCUUGUCUUAAAUUUGUUUAGAUAUGGAUGUAUCUAAUACUAAAACGUGACUUGAUACAUCUGUAUUUAGACAAAUCUAAGACAAGAAUUUUAGGACGGAGGGAGUACAAU